AGUGUGAGGAAUGAGGUGGAAAACCAGAUCAUCCAGGAAGUAAGCGGUACCUUGAAGGUGUGGGUUGGCCUCUACAGAGACCCCUUGGAGUGGUCGGACCGGACUUACUCUUCGUUUAGAUAUUGGAAAGCAGGCAAAUCACCGUAUACUGCCCUUAGUGGUGGAAAAUGUGCUGCUCUAUUAAAAAGUCAGUCUGGUAGAUGGGGAGAACUGCCAUGUGGUGAAGCACAUCCGUUCCUCUGUAACUGUCCUGUUUUGAGCUUCAUUAAAGUGAGAAUCAGCUCACCAGGCUUGGAUCUAAAUGAACCUGCAGUGCAAGAUGACAUACUGAAGCAGAUAAAGCAGGAGCUGAGUAACACGAGUGUGACCAAUGUUUUAGGAUGGAGGAAGCAACCUGAUGGAAGAGUUUUUAUCAAGGAAUCAAACAGAACUGGCUGAAGAGGGAGAGACGAAUCAGAGAAGCAGAUUUAACUCUGCACUCUAACCUGAAGAAUUUCUAUAUGUAAAAUAUGUGUUUACUCACAGCUUCAUUCACAGUGACAAAAACUACUAAGAACCAAAUGUACCAGCUCUACUAUGCUUUAAGUUAGCUCUUUGUUUUGGUCUUACCACACAUUUUUAAAGUCUCUUCCUUGCACUACUUUGUUAUACUACUUUGUUAUAUCUAUGCGUCUGUAGCAAGCUGUCUUGCUACAGACGCAUAGAUUCAGCACUCUGUCUAUGUGCAAUACUUUAAUUGAUGACGGAGCCAGCACACAACAACAGAAUCUGUCCUCAACAUGUGUCUAUGGCUGCUCAGCUCCUCCAGCACAUGGCUCCCAGUCCAUUCAGAUUUUAAACCAAAAAAUCAUUCAGUGACCUUCUCCUUGGUCUGGGCCACAGUCCUCUGAGGGCCAGCACACUGCUGCAUGAAAGAGGGAGAGAUGUAAUCAGAACAAACCAGCAGCAGCUGCAUCACUAUGACAGAGAGUAGUACCAGGUGUGUGUGAGUAGUACCACACACACACUUACCUCUCCCCUGCAGCUGACCACUAACUACACCC